rnacentral:lncRNA from 1 species
CCCCCCCCCACCCCACCCCAAUAUCAAGAACAAGGGAACUGUUUCUGACUUUCUCUUUCUCGUUUUUUAGAAAAGACCAGUUCCUCUCAUAAAAACCACAAAAAUGGACACCCCUUCUGCUUAUUCUUCAUUGCUAACCUAGACACACAUUUAAAAGACUCAAGAAAUAUCGGACCCUCCCUCACUUCUCUGAAAAACGCACAUACACAGAUUGAAAACGAGAAAGAGAGGAAGUUUGCACUUCAAAUUUCAGAUCUAGAAAACUUCAAAAGAAGAGAAAAAAAAAAAAAAAAAGAUUAAAAGACCGUUUAGAUUUUCGCUUCAUGGUUUGAUCCAUUUUGGGUUUCAUGGGCUGUUUAAAUUUAGUUCCGGCACAAAGUGAAGUGCUUAUGAACUCGAUGAAGAUACAUGGGUUGUUCUUCAAGUAUAAGCAUUCUGUUUGGUUUGAUCCCAGCACAUCUCUGUAUUUUAUUAUUUCAAAUUAAUUGUAGCUACGUUAAGAAUAAGGAAUGUUGUUUGUUCAUAAAGUUAUGUUGUCUAAAAUGCCAAAAUAUGGGUUUGGAGGCUGAUGGUUAAAUGAGAUCCUACUGAUGUUUCAGCUUGCAUACGUGACCAAAAGCUUAAUUAAUUAUGUCUACAUAUAUUUUAUUGUUAAAAGUGACUUUAGUGAACAAUAGAAAAAUAUUUCAUGAACCUCGUAGCUUGUUUUAGGUACGAUUAAUAAAUUAUUGUGAUUAUAGGUACGGAUAUCGUGACAUAGUCAUGAUAUCUAAUUCUCAAACUCAGGGUGCAUUUCAUGUAAUUUGAUUAUAA